rnacentral:rRNA from 1 species
AGAGUUUGAUCCUGGCUCAGGAUGAACGCUAGCGACAGGCCUAACACAUGCAAGUCGAGGGGCAUCGGGGCGAGGAGCAAUCCUUGCCGCCGGCGACCGGCGCACGGGUGAGUAACGCGUAUGCGACCUGCCCGUUGCAGGGGGAUAAUCGGGAGAAAUCCCGUCUAAUACCGCGUAAUGCCGCGGGGCUGCAUGGCCCUGCGGCCAAAGGAAGCGAUUCCGGCAACGGAUGGGCAUGCGUGACAUUAGCUAGUUGGCGGGGCAACGGCCCACCAAGGCGACGAUGUCUAGGGGUUCUGAGAGGAAGGUCCCCCACACUGGUACUGAGACACGGACCAGACUCCUACGGGAGGCAGCAGUGAGGAAUAUUGGUCAAUGGGCGCGAGCCUGAACCAGCCAAGUCGCGUGAGGGAUGACGGCCCUACGGGUUGUAAACCUCUUUUGUCGGGGAGCAAAUUCCGCCACGCGUGGCGGGGUCGAGAGUACCCGAAGAAAAAACAUCGGCUAACUCCGUGCCAGCAGCCGCGGUAA